GCCUGGCUGGCUCAGUAGGAAGAGCAUGGGACUCUUGAUCUCACGGUUGUGAGUUUGAGCCCCACCCUGGGUG
rnacentral:tRNA from 1 species